rnacentral:tRNA from 1 species
GCGGGAGUGCCGGAGUGGCCAAACGGGGUAGAAAAAAGCUACUGGCUUAGUGCCUACGCAGGUUCGAAUCCUGUCUCCCGCA